UUAAGCGACUAAGCGUACACGGUGGAUGCCCUGGCAGUCAGAGGCGAUGAAGGACGUGCUAAUCUGCGAAAAGCGUCGGUAAGGUGAUAUGAACCGUUAUAACCGGCGAUGUCCGAAUGGGGAAACCCAGUGUGAUUCGUCACACUAUCGUUAACUGAAUACAUAGGUUAACGAGGCGAACCGGGGGAACUGAAACAUCUAAGUACCCCGAGGAAAAGAAAUCAACCGAGAUUCCCCCAGUAGCGGCGAGCGAACGGGGAGCAGCCCAGAGUCUGAAUCAGCUUGUGUGUUAGUGGAACGGUCUGGAAAGUCCGACGGUACAGGGUGAUAGUCCCGUACACCAAAAUGCACAGGCUGUGAACUCGAAGAGUAGGGCGGGACACGUGGUAUCCUGUCUGAAUAUGGGGGGACCAUCCUCCAAGGCUAAAUACUCCUGACUGACCGAUAGUGAACCAGUACCGUGAGGGAAAGGCGAAAAGAACCCCGGCGAGGGGAGUGAAAAAGAACCUGAAACCGUGUACGUACAAGCAGUGGGAGCACCUUCGGGUGUGACUGCGUACCUUUUGUAUAAUGGGUCAGCGACUUAUAUUCUGUAGCAAGGUUAACCGUAUAGGGGAGCCGCAGGGAAACCGAGUCUUAACUGGGCGUUAAGUUGCAGGGUAUAGACCCGAAACCCGGUGAUCUAGCCAUGGGCAGGUUGAAGGUUGGGUAACACUAACUGGAGGACCGAACCGACUAAUGUUGAAAAAUUAGCGGAUGACUUGUGGCUGGGGGUGAAAGGCCAAUCAAACCGGGAGAUAGCUGGUUCUCCCCGAAAGCUAUUUAGGUAGCGCCUCGUGAACUCAUCUUCGGGGGUAGAGCACUGUUUCGGCUAGGGGGUCAUCCCGACUUACCAACCCGAUGCAAACUACGAAUACCGAAGAAUGUUAUCACGGGAGACACACGGCGGGUGCUAACGUCCGUCGUGAAGAGGGAAACAACCCAGACCGCCAGCUAAGGUCCCAAAGUCAUGGUUAAGUGGGAAACGAUGUGGGAAGGCACAGACAGCCAGGAUGUUGGCUUAGAAGCAGCCAUCAUUUAAAGAAAGCGUAAUAGCUCACUGGUCGAGUCGGCCUGCGCGGAAGAUGUAACGGGGCUAAACCAUGCACCGAAGCUGCGGCAGCGACACUAUGUGUUGUUGGGUAGGGGAGCGUUCUGUAAGCCUGCGAAGGUGUGCUGUGAGGCAUGCUGGAGGUAUCAGAAGUGCGAAUGCUGACAUAAGUAACGAUAAAGCGGGUGAAAAGCCCGCUCGCCGGAAGACCAAGGGUUCCUGUCCAACGUUAAUCGGGGCAGGGUGAGUCGACCCCUAAGGCGAGGCCGAAAGGCGUAGUCGAUGGGAAACAGGUUAAUAUUCCUGUACUUGGUGUUACUGCGAAGGGGGGACGGAGAAGGCUAUGUUAGCCGGGCGACGGUUGUCCCGGUUUAAGCAUGUAGGCUGAUUGUCCAGGCAAAUCCGGAUAAUCAAGGCUGAGGUGUGAUGACGAGGCACUACGGUGCUGAAGUAACAAAUGCCCUGCUUCCAGGAAAAGCCUCUAAGCAUCAGGUAACAUUAAAUCGUACCCCAAACCGACACAGGUGGUCAGGUAGAGAAUACCAAGGCGCUUGAGAGAACUCGGGUGAAGGAACUAGGCAAAAUGGUGCCGUAACUUCGGGAGAAGGCACGCUGGUGUGUAGGUGAAGCCCCUGCGGGUGGAGCUGAGACCAGUCGAAGAUACCAGCUGGCUGCAACUGUUUAUUAAAAACACAGCACUGUGCAAACACGAAAGUGGACGUAUACGGUGUGACGCCUGCCCGGUGCCGGAAGGUUAAUUGAUGGGGUUAUCCGUAAGGAGAAGCUCUUGAUCGAAGCCCCGGUAAACGGCGGCCGUAACUAUAACGGUCCUAAGGUAGCGAAAUUCCUUGUCGGGUAAGUUCCGACCUGCACGAAUGGCGUAAUGAUGGCCAGGCUGUCUCCACCCGAGACUCAGUGAAAUUGAACUCGCUGUGAAGAUGCAGUGUACCCGCGGCAAGACGGAAAGACCCCGUGAACCUUUACUAUAGCUUGACACUGAACAUUGAGCCUUGAUGUGUAGGAUAGGUGGGAGGCUUUGAAGCGUGGACGCCAGUCUGCGUGGAGCCAACCUUGAAAUACCACCCUUUAAUGUUUGAUGUUCUAACGUUGGCCCCUGACCGGGGUUGCGGACAGUGUCUGGUGGGUAGUUUGACUGGGGCGGUCUCCUCCCAAAGCGUAACGGAGGAGCACGAAGGUUAGCUAAUCCUGGUCGGACAUCAGGAGGUUAGUGCAAUGGCAUAAGCUAGCUUGACUGCGAGCGUGACGGCGCGAGCAGGUGCGAAAGCAGGUCAUAGUGAUCCGGUGGUUCUGAAUGGAAGGGCCAUCGCUCAACGGAUAAAAGGUACUCCGGGGAUAACAGGCUGAUACCGCCCAAGAGUUCAUAUCGACGGCGGUGUUUGGCACCUCGAUGUCGGCUCAUCACAUCCUGGGGCUGAAGUAGGUCCCAAGGGUAUGGCUGUUCGCCAUUUAAAGUGGUACGCGAGCUGGGUUUAGAACGUCGUGAGACAGUUCGGUCCCUAUCUGCCGUGGGCGCUGGAGAAUUGAGGGGGGCUGCUCCUAGUACGAGAGGACCGGAGUGGACGCAUCACUGGUGUUCGGGUUGUCAUGCCAAUGGCACUGCCCGGUAGCUAAAUGCGGAAGAGAUAAGUGCUGAAAGCAUCUAAGCACGAAACUUGCCCCGAGAUGAGUUCUCCCUGAGACUUUAAGUCUCCUGAAGGAACGUUGAAGACGACGACGUUGAUAGGCCGGGUGUGUAAGCGCAGCGAUGCGUUGAGCUAACCGGUACUAAUGAACCGUGAGGCUUAACCUU
rnacentral:rRNA from 1 species